UGAAGUCAGAAGGAGCGCUAUAAAUCAUCCGCUCAUAAUAAAAAGAACUUAAAGUCUUCAAAAAGAUCUUAGUCAUCUCUUUCAUUUCUAGCGGAGGCAUGAUCUGUGCUGCCACCUCUCGCCACCUCUGGGCGUACUCCUUAAAUGUUUCUUUAUCCUUUCUGGGACAUGGCUCUCAAUUGAUCUCUAUCGGGAGCCAUAUCCACGUUGUACUUGUAUUGCUUGACGAAGGCUUCGCCGAGAUCAUUGAAG
rnacentral:lncRNA from 1 species